UGGGGAAUAUUGCACAAUGGAGGGAACUCUGAUGCAGCGACGCCGCGUGAGUGAUGAAGGAAUUCGUUUCGUAAAACUCUGUUCUAUGGGAAGAAAAGGACUGUACCAUAGGAGAAAGCUCCGGCUAAAUACGUGCCAGCAGCCGCGGUAAUACGUAUGGAGCGAGCGUUGUCCGGAAUUAUUGGGCGUAAAGGGUGCGCAGGCGGCUUUACAAGUUGGAUGUGAAAUAUUGUGGCUCAACCACAAACGUGCAUCCAAAACUGCAAAGCUUGAGUUAAGGAGAGGUAAGUGGAAUUCCUGGUGUAGCGGUGGAAUGCGUAGAUAUCAGGAGGAGUACCGGUGGCGUAGGCGACUUACUGGACUUAAACUGACGCUCAGGCACGAAAGCGUGGGGAGCAAACAGG
rnacentral:rRNA from 1 species